AAUAGAAGAGGGUGGGGUGACCUCUAUGGUGUGUUUCUAAUAUCUCCCCAAAGCUCCCUGCGGGCAGAAUCGUCUUGGGUGUUCCAGGGUGGAUUCUGGUGUUGUUAUAUUUAACAGGUUCCCAGCGCAGAAGGCAGAGAGAAGAAAGACGAGGAAAAGAGAGGGAGAAAGAAAGCUGUGUGAUGGCGAGCUGACUGCGGAGUAUCGGCCUGACGUGGAGGAAAAAGCACCCUCUGUGCAUGGAUUGGGCCAGGUUCACCCUUUCAUCCAGCUGCCCAUCUUACCUUAACCUCCCCUCAGGAAGCCAGGAAAGGCCUGUCCUUCUCUGCACGGACGACAUUCCAAGUGGGAAGGAAUCUGAGGACACUGAUCACCUAAUCUCUCCGACUGCAGCAGCACCUGUUGGGGCAGCGCUGGAGCAGAGGGGAAAAAAAAUCCAGAUCGGUGGCAGCUCUGUGUUGACCAGAAACAUCUCACUCUGUAUCAGAUGGUGCCGACUGCUACUCGACAACCGCUUGUCAAUUAAACAUGUAUGGGGUGAAUGAGUGAAAAUGUAUAGGUAUGUUUAUGUUUAAAGUUAUUUUGUCAUAUUUAACUUGUGAUUUGAAAAUAUGUAUUAUUUUAGCAUUUUGUUACCUUACCUUUUCUACCCUGACUCCCCAUGUAGUUGCUCUAUCAGCUCUAUUUUGAGGACUUUCUCUUACUGAAGAAAUAUUAUAAUUUCCGUGGAAACAUUAAAGCACUGAGGACAUUGCUGAGGGAGCCAUCUGACCCAAAUGAAACUAGAUCAUUCAUGUAAGAAUAGAGCACCAAUGAAAAGACAUACAAUACAGUCAACCGGUCCUGCCUGACAACCAAUCAAAUGUCUCACCCAGCUGUCCAUGAGGUGGCCAUGUGCUGAGGGGGACCCUGAGAGACGGAGCAGGCACAUAAAUCACAGAGGAGGACGCUGCAGUUGGUGCUCAUGUCUGCACGAGGAGAAGACUUUGAGAUUUUUGCCAUAGCUUCUUUUGAGAACUUGUCAUUAGAAGUGUUGAUGUUAUUGCUCUUGGGUUUUGUAAAUGUGUCUCUCAGUGAUAAAUCGUGUGCUGCCUAUACACUAUACACUUCUGUUUCCCAAAAGUAAUCCACGACAAUGCCUGUUAAAUUAGACUAACAGUCGAUUCUAUAAAGUUGUUUUCAAUGGUUUUUUAGAUCGUUUCUAAAACUGGAAUCUAUGAUUAAUGUUCACUGCUGGCCUCUGAAAACUGACUGUAGAAUAUGUGAUAUGCCACAUGUGUUCUUUGUGUAGACUACAGUAUGAGUGGACUCAUGCUCUGGUUCAUCUUGAUAAAUGUUCUGGAUCGCUCUUGGAGUGAGAUUGUUAAUGUGGCCAGAGGAGGUCUAGUUUUUCUUCUUGUCCAAGGUUAUUUAAACUAAACCAACUAUUCCUUUAAAUGUCUCAAAUCCCUUACAGCAUGGGCCAUGGCCUUAAUGCCUGACAGAGCAACGCUGCUUUGCAUGUAGCCUGAUUAUUAUCUGCUACACAAAUUGCUAGCAGCUGGGUUGUUCACGACUGAUGGUCCCAUAGUCUAUGUAUUGAAACUGUUGGAAUGUGGACAAUUACCACUUUCACUUUCUCACAAAAACCCUAAUACAGUUUACAUAAACUGUUCUCUUGAAAAUCCUACUUUAAAGGGCUUUAUGAGCCUCCAGGGCUGGUUCAAGCUGAUACAUAAUUUGCUUCCCAAUUUAUACAGCUCUCUGGUAGCAAGGACAAACAAAAAAGGAGCCUAUUGUUCAUGACCGCCCCCCCCCCCCCCCCCAUAUAACUUCACUUACAACAGAGAAGGCUUUUACAUAAUUGAGUUUUAACAAGUCUUCAUGUAAGUGAAAUAUGUUGUACCACCCACCACCAAGGUCUGCUGAAGGUUAAAGUUUACCAGACUCUAUGCUAGACUACUAUAUCUCUGUUGUGAUUUAGGGGUCACAGAAAGAGGAAACCGCGAAGAGGUUAGCCAGCAAACAGUUGAACUCCCAAAAACAUUUUUCUCAGAGUUUUUGGUUGCAUAUGAUGAUAUGCUGAUUUGUCACAGUGCAAACAAUGUCAAAGCUAAGCUAUGUUUGAGCAAAACAUGUCCAAAUGUGGGUAGAUGAAUGUAUUAUUUUAAGUUUUGCUCACAACAUUCUUACAAAUUCACAAAAGUUGAUCUCGACUUUAAAUCGCACUGUAAUAAAGUGCCUUUCAUAUGGAAAAUCUCAUUUAGUAUAUUUCUUGGGGGAAAGAAGUCAAGUUGUCAUUUUGUCUAAAGCUGGAGAGCACCUUGCGAGUGGUCGAACAGUUUAACCUAUAAUUACUACAAUUAAAAUAAUACUCAUAUUAACAAAGAAAAAUUGCUUCCAAAUGGUCUUUCACAUGCGCAAGAAAAGAAAAACAAGAACACAUGGGCACAGUUCGGCUAAAGAAUUUUGGCAGCAGAGCAUGACGUGUCAAAUAUAAAUUAAUCUUUCAUUCAAAUCAGUAACUGUAGCCAUUUCAUGAUACAAUACAAGAACAAUUUCUACUGUAUGACGUGCAUUUUACAGUCUGACUUACAAUUCUGAGUGAAUUCAUGCUUGCUUUUGGUGAUAUUGAUACAUACACACACACAAUGCAUGCUGGGAAUUCCCCCAUGUACUUUGUUGGACAUAAUUCCAGCACUGGACUGCAGGCAGAACAACCUCAAUGUGUCUUAAACCACUCAGAGAAUCAAAAAGUUGUUCAUGGAGCACAUCACUAAAAGGUCAGAGGAGGGAGUGGAAGACAAGACGGGGUGUGAACACAAUACAACGCGCGUGUUCAUGUGCCUGUGUCUGUGUGGCUUUAGGAGCUUCAGUGAUUGAUCAUUUCCAUUGUAAUCUCUCACACUUAAGAAGUCUCUCAGGACAGAGAGUAAGAUACAGUGAAGGGAAAUACAGUAAAUAAUGCACAUACCACUCUAACGUGUAACAACCUUUUUGUUUUUGCGAGGAAAAUUGCAGGGGUUGACUUCAAAGUCAAAAGUACACUGCUGAAAUCAAAAUGUCAGUCGUAUGCCCUAUAAAAAUCACUGGACCUCUCACUCCUGUGAUGAAGAGAAACAAGGGAGACUCCAAAGUCAACACAAUUUUCUGUCUUUCUCCAGAAAGAAAAAAGCCCACUCGCAGGUUUUGCCCUUUUGCUGCUCAUAGACUGAGGUGAGCUGUUAAAGAGACCUCCAGCGGUAUUACCGCUUGAAGAUAUUUUUUUUUUCUUCAGGCAAUAACGACCUCAUGUCCAGAAAGUGCCCUCCCAGUGAAGUAUUGAUGUAGAGGCCUGUUUUGCUGAGGAGUGUGUGAGGGAGCGAUCAGAGGAGUCCUGUGGACAAAAUCGCACUGCUGACCCUGGACAUUAGUGAUUGAUGUCAAAUGUGACCAUGAAACCCAACAGGGGUUGUUGUACUUUUGAUUUUAUUGGCCACCAUGUCAGGCUGUCUGCUCUCUGUGGUAAAAAAGACCUGCAUUGCUACAGUAUAACUCUUUAUAGAGACACUGCUGAACAACAGUAUAAUGACACGUUAGGGUUUGGUAAUUUAAUUCUUGUCCUAUUUGUAGAGAUAACAAUAUACAGAGCGAUUCCAAUAUGACUGUCAUCUGACCACAAUGAUAUAGAAAAGUAUGCCCUGGGUAAAAAGUUAUGAUGAUGAUAAAAAUGUUGCUGAGUUUUAACAAUAAAUCUGC
ensembl:lncRNA